UACGAAGGGGGCUAGCGUUGCUCGGAAUCACUGGGCGUAAAGGGUGCGUAGGCGGGUCUUUAAGUCAGGGGUGAAAUCCUGGAGCUCAACUCCAGAACUGCCUUUGAUACUGAAGAUCUUGAGUUCGGGAGAGGUGAGUGGAACUGCGAGUGUAGAGGUGAAAUUCGUAGAUAUUCGCAAGAACACCGGUGGCGAAGGCGGGUCUCUGGCCCGGUACUGACGCUGAGGUGCGAAAGCGUGGGGAGCAAACAGGG
rnacentral:rRNA from 1 species